rnacentral:rRNA from 1 species
CACGUAGUUAGCCGGGGCUUCUUGGUCAGGUACCGUCAUCUUCUUCCCUGCUGACAGAGCUUUACGUGCCGAAACACUUCUUCACUCACGCGGCGUCGCUGCAUCAGGGUUUCCCCCAUUGUGCAAUAUUCCCCACUGCUGCCUCCCGUAGGAGUCUGGGCCGUGUCUCAGUCCCAAUGUGGCCGUCCACCCUCUCAGGCCGGCUACUGAUCGUCGCCUUGGUGGGCCGUUACCCCGCCAACCAGCUAAUCAGACGCGGGUCCAUCCCGUACCACCGGAGUUUUCAAGGAGGUCCCAUGCAGGGCCUCUUAUUAUGCGGUAUUAGCACCUGUUUCCAGGUGUUAUCCCCCGGUACGGGGCAGGUUGCCCACGCGUUACUCACCCGUCCGCCACUAAAACAGUCCGGGGCUUGACCGAAAUCUCACCCGUGGGCCGUUCCCGUUCGACUUGCAUGUGUUAGGCACGCCGCCAGCGUUCAUCCUGAGCCAGGAUCAAACUC